rnacentral:rRNA from 1 species
AUUGAACGCUGGCGGCAGGCCUAACACAUGCAAGUCGAGCGAGCGGCGGACGGGUGAGUAAUGUAUGGGGAUCUGCCCGAUAGAGGGGGAUAACUACUGGAAACGGUAGCUAAUACCGCAUACCAUCAGCUGAACCCAUAUGGGAUUAGCUGGUAGGUAAGGUAAAGGCUUACCUAGGAGACGAUCCCUAGCUGGUCUGAGAGGAUGAUCAGCCACACUAGGACUGGGACAAGGCCCAGACUCCUACGGGAGGCAGCAGUGGGGAAUAUGGCACAAUGGGCGAAAGCCUGAUGCAGCAAUGCAGCGUGUAUGAAGAAGGCCUUCGGGUUGUAAAGUACUUUCAGUCGUGAUGCGUUACCGACAGAAGAAGCACCGGCUAACUCCGUGCCAGCAGCCGCGGUAAUAC